rnacentral:lncRNA from 1 species
CAGGGUUUUAGGCUUUAGGGAUUUUUAUCUUUAGGGAUUUCGACAUUCAGGAUUGUAGGGUUUAGGAUUUUUGGUUUUUAGGAUUCUUGCCCAAACCCAUAUCACAAAUAGCUUGAAGUUGCUAGUUAUAUUAGAUUUCAGGCAGGCUAGUAGAAGAUAACAAGGACAUUAAGGAUAGAAAUGUUAGGGGCCUUCCUUUAGCCAAAACUACUCCUAAAUAGUAAUAUUACUUCUCUGGUAGAAAAGCCGCAAAGUCAGAUUACAGAGCCAUAGGUGAGCUGCAGGGCUAAGAGACGCAACAGUGAUCACCUUAACCCUCUGACAUUGUGUAGAUGUGAAGGUCAUAGCCCAAAAACUUAAAAACACUUGGGACUAGAUUUAUGGUAUUAAGAACACACAGAACUGAUAAAGGAUCUUAAAACAAUUUCUACCUUUUCCCUAGGCUGGACAAUUUGGAAGAUUUCAUAUGAUCCGAAUACAUUAAGGAAGCUAAAAUUUCGUUUUACUGGCCAAAUUUUUUUCUCUCUACUCAUCUUUUUAUACAUAAUAGGAAGACACGUUUGUGCCAUCAUGUUCAGAGCAGGCUUUGCCUCAUAUGGGCUGGUGACCUCAGGCAGAGGCGGGUAUGAUCUACUAGUGGAAGUGGACCCAUCUGACACCAAAUGAAAU